AGACCUAACCGAGUCCCAACUCUUCACCCCUGUCUACCGAAAUAUGUUGCUUUGGCGGGCCAACCGGGCUUCCCCGGGGAAGGCUGACCCCUUCUCGUGCCCGCCAAAGGCCUCAAUAAACCCUGUGAUCAGUGUCGUCCGAGUAAAAACAAUCGUUAAAACUUUCAACAACGGAUCUCUUGGUUCCGGCGUCGAUGAAGAACGCAGCGAAAUGCGAAAAGUAAUGUGAAUUGCAGAGUUCCGCGAAU
rnacentral:misc_RNA from 1 species